rnacentral:rRNA from 1 species
UACGUAGGGGGCAAGCGUUGUCCGGAAUCAUUGGGCGUAAAGCGCGUGUAGGCGGUCCGGUAAGUCCGCUGUGAAAGUCGGGGGCUCAACCCUCGGAUGCCGGUGGAUACUGUCGGGCUUGAGUACGGAAGAGGCGAGUGGAAUUCCUGGUGUAGCGGUGAAAUGCGUAGAUAUCGGGAGGAACACCUGAGGCGAAGGCGGGCUACUGGGCUGAUACUGACGCUGAGGCGCGAAAGCUAGGGGAGCAAACAGG